rnacentral:rRNA from 1 species
GAUGAACGCUGGCGGCGUGCCUAAUACAUGCAAGUCGAGCGAACAGACGAGGAGCUUGCUCCUCUGACGUUAGCGGCGGACGGGUGAGUAACACGUGGAUAACCUACCUAUAAGACUGGGAUAACUUCGGGAAACCGGAGCUAAUACCGGAUAAUAUAUUGAACCGCAUGGUUCAAUAGUGAAAGACGGUUUUGCUGUCACUUAUAGAUGGAUCCGCGCCGCAUUAGCUAGUUGGUAAGGUAACGGCUUACCAAGGCAACGAUGCGUAGCCGACCUGGGAGGGUGAUCGGCCACACUGGAACUGAGACACGGUCCAGACUCCUACGGGAGGCAGCAGUAGGGAAUCUUCCGUAAUGGGCGAAAGCCUGACGGAGCAACGCCGCGUGAGUGAUGAAGGUCUUCGGAUCGUAAAACUCUGUUAUUAGGGAAGAACAAAUGUGUAAGUAACUAUGCACGUCUUGACGGUACCUAAUCAGAAAGCCACGGCUAACUACGUG